rnacentral:rRNA from 1 species
AGGACGAACGCUGGCGGCGCGCUUAACACAUGCAAGUCGAGCGAGAACCAGUCCUUCGGGACUGGGGACAGCGGCGAACGGGUGAGUAACACGUGGGUAAUCUGCCCUCGAUUCUGGGAUAGCCCGGGGAAACCCGGAUUAAUACCGGAUAGCCUCUCGAGCUUACGAGCUCGUGAGAAAAGGUAGCUUCGGCCUCCGAUCGAGGAUGAGCCCGCGGCGGAUUAGCUUGUUGGUGGGGUAAUGGCCUACCAAGGCGACGAUCCGUAGCUGGUCUGAGAGGACGAUCAGCCACACUGGGACUGAGACACGGCCCAGACUCCGUACGGGAGCAGCAGGUGGGAAUCUUGCGCAAGUGGGACGAAAGCCUGACGCAGCGACGCCGCGGUGGGGGAAGAAGGCCGUUCGGGUUAGUAAACCGUUCUUACGAGCGAGGGAACGAACGCCGAACGUUACGGGUUAAAUACGACCCGAAGG